UGAGGAAUAUUGGACAAUGGGUGGAAGCCUGAUCCAGCCAUCCCGCGUGCAGGAAGACGGCCUUAUGGGUUGUAAACUGCUUUUAUACAGGAAUAAACCACCUUUCGUGAAGGGUGUUGAAGGUACUGUAUGAAUAAGCACCGGCUAACUCCGUGCCAGCAGCCGCGGUAAUACGGAGGGUGCAAGCGUUAUCCGGAUUUAUUGGGUUUAAAGGGUCCGCAGGCGGACUAGUAAGUCAGGGGUGAAAUCCGGCAGCUCAACUGUCGAACUGCCUUUGAAACUGCUGGUCUUGAGUGAGAAUGAAGCAGCUGGAAUGUGUGGUGUAGCGGUGAAAUGCAUAGAUAUCACACAGAACACCGAUAGCGAAGGCAGGUUGCUAAUUCUCAACUGACGCUGAGGGACGAAAGCGUGGGGAGCAAACAG
rnacentral:rRNA from 1 species